rnacentral:rRNA from 1 species
UGGUGGUUAUUGUGGCGGUGUCACACCUCUUCCCAUUCCGAACAGAGAAGUUAAGCCCGCUUACGCCGAUGGUACUGCAAUGAAAUGUGGGAGAGUAGGAAGCCGCC